rnacentral:rRNA from 1 species
GACGAACGCUGGCGGCGUGCCUAAUACAUGCAAGUAGAACGCACAGUUUAUACCGUAGCUUGCUACACCAUAGACUGUGAGUUGCGAACGGGUGAGUAACGCGUAGGUAACCUGCCUGGUAGCGGGGGAUAACUAUUGGAAACGUUAGCUAAUACCGCAUAAUAUUGAUUAUUGCAUGAUAAUUGAUUGAAAGAUGCUAUUGCAUCACUACCAGAUGGACCUGCGUUGUAUUAGCUAGUAGGUGAGGUAACGGCUCACCUAGGCGACGAUACAUAGCCGACCUGAGAGGGUGAUCGGCCACACUGGGACUGAGACACGGCCCAGACUCCUACGGGAGGCAGCAGUAGGGAAUCUUCGGCAAUGGACGAAAGUCUGACCGAGCAACGCCGCGUGAGUGAAGAAGGUUUUCGGAUCGUAAAGCUCUGUUGUAAGAGAAGAACGGGUGUGAGAGUGGAAAGUUCACACUGUGACGGUAUCUUACCAGAAAGGGACGGCUAACUACGUG